AUACCGGAUAGGGUUUUGGAUCGCAUGAUCCGAAACGGAAAGAUGGCGCAAGCUAUUACUUACAGAUGGGCCUGCGGCGCAUUAGCUAGUUGGUGGGGUAACGGCCUACCAAGGCGACGAUGCGUAGCCGACCUGAGAGGGUGACCGGCCACACUGGGACUGAGACACGGCCCAGACUCCUACGGGAGGCAGCAGUAGGGAAUUUUCCACAAUGGACGAAAGUCUGAUGGAGCAACGCCGCGUGAACGAUGAAGGCUCUCGGGUCGUAAAGUUCUGUUGUUAGGGACGAACAAGUGCCGUUCGAACAGGGCGGCACCUUGACGGUACCUAACGAGAAAGCCACGGCUAACUACGUGCCAGCAGCCGCGGUAAUACGUAGGUGGCAAGCGUUGUCCGGAAUUAUUGGGCGUAAAGCGCGCGCAGGCGGUUAUGUAAGUCUGAUGUUAAAGCCCGGGGCUCAACCUCGGUCCGCAUUGGAAACUGCGUAACUUGAGUGCAGAAGAGGAAAGUGGUAUUCCACGU
rnacentral:rRNA from 1 species